rnacentral:rRNA from 1 species
GUAGGUGGCGAGCGUUGUCCGGAAUUAUUGGGCGUAAAGCGCGCGCAGGCGGUCCUUUAAGUCUGAUGUGAAAGCCCACGGCUCAACCGUGGAGGGUCAUUGGAAACUGGGGGACUUGAGUACAGAAGAGGAAAGCGGAAUUCCAAGUGUAGCGGUGAAAUGCGUAGAGAUUUGGAGGAACACCAGUGGCGAAGGCGGCUUUCUGGUCUGUAACUGACGCUGAGGCGCGAAAGCGUGGGGAGCAAACAGGGAUUAGAUACCCUGGUAGUCCACGCCGUAAACGAUGAGUGCUAAGUGUUAAGGGGGGUUUCCGCCCCCGUUAGUGCUGCAGCUAACGCAUUAAGCACUCCGCCUGGGGAUACGGCCGCAAGGCUG